UCUCAAAAAAGAGCAUAUAAGAUUACAGACUGAAAGGCAUGAGGAGAUGAAAUGACAUUUGACAUGUCACUUCAUCUCCUUCAGCUCUGCUCAAGUAACUGGACCCACCAACAAUCAUGGACCAGUGGGGGAGCUAUGCAAAACCUUUGAAAAAUAACUCCAUAUGAUCUGGUGUAUUUUUAGACAGCUAGCUGUGACAGGAGUGCUAAAGCACGUUUCAGAUUCUUCAGUCCCUAGUGAACAAACACAACAUUGUGUAACGUAUAGCACACUAUCUAAUGUAUCUUUAUUGUAAUUGCUAAGUAAAUAGGAAACAGGGGCAGGGCCAGGAAGCACUGAGAAGUCAAUUGUAAGCAAGUCUAAGAUAGUUUUGUGACAGGCAUUAAAGAAACAAUGCUGAAAAGCCGACUGGCUGCAGCCCAAAAGCAAAGUGGCAAGUUGGGAACCCAGCCAGGCCGGAAGCAGGUUUGCAGAGAAAAGGCUUCCAUACCUGCUCCAGAUAUCUUAGGAAAGGCAAAGAGAGCCUUAAAGAGGGGAGGGUGAAAGCACAGAAGCCGUUACUUCAGAACAGUCACCUCAGCGCCUUAGGCCCACUUCCACACACACAGCCCACAAGCCAAAUAUAGCCCAUAGCAUUGUAGGGAAGCCCACUGGAGAUGUGGCAAAGCAGUUCUUCCUGUCUGUCUGGGCUUGUCAAAUCAGGAAGCUGCCAAGAAUGCGACAGGUCUCAUACAAGGCUGAUUUGCAGGCUGCAUUUAGCUGGGUGCCAAUAUGAUCUGCUCUAUGAAGAUGACCAGAGAAUAUGGAAAAUUUGAUAGAUUGACACCUCCAGCAUAAGCUACCAAUAUUGGGGCAAGGAUUCUGGCUUCAUGAUGGGGUCCAGCUUGGACGCUGCAGUGACUGGUGGUCCUAGCUCAGGGGUCUCCGGUCCAAGCAUGUCUGAUUCUGAAGGUCUCUGCUUACUGGACUUGCUCCAGCACCUGUGGGUUGUGCUACUGCCUCUUCUGACCCUCCAGUUUCAUCCCCCCUCAAAAUCAGUGUCCACGUUGGUGCUGGCAGUCUAGAUGAUGGUGGCAGGCACCUCUACACACUCAGGAACCUUGCCUUUGCAGGUUUCCUUACUGCAUGGUGAGCUUCCUACUCAUUUACACUUGUAAACAUACACUUGUGUCAGAUGUUGAAACAAAUAGCCGUAAGUCAGAGACAACCUGUUGUUGAGGUACCUCCCUACCCCUACUUAUAGGCCAACCUUAUCCCCCUGCUGGCUUUAUGUUGGCUUGGAAUUGGUUUUAGUUGUUAUCUCUAUGCUGGAUUUUCCUCUUUUGUUGUUGUUGCUGUUGUUGUUGUUGUUGUUGUUUGCUGGUAUGGGCUAAACCUCUGGAGGGUACCAGGUUGGCAAAAGCUGUAAAUAAUAGUUGAAUAGUUUUGGCAUGUUCUCAUGGGAACACUAGCUAGAAUGGGACAAUUUAAGUACAUCAAAUUAGAAUUAAUUGAAGAAAAGCAUCCUUAUGGUGGGGCUGUCAAUGGAACUCAUGGUUUUUCUAGAAACCAGAGGCAAAGUUUGAAAGAGCUGCAAAAUAAAAAUCUUUCGGGGCAAAAUUAUGUUGGGUGAUGAUGGUUUUUUAAAUGUCACUAU